UUACUAUGGAAAAACAACAUGAAAUUAUUUUUGUUCUCCCUUGAAUAGAAAGUCAUGGCUGUUAUUGGGCCACGAAGGCCUGCCCCACGACCCCCACAGCAUCUAGUUUAGUGAAGGACCCGCUCUCUCAUUAUUUCUCUUUGAAAUUUCUACUUUCUAGCUUUCAUCGACAACAUCAACCCUACAAAGCCCCCAGCAUCUUAAUCUUUCACUUCUGUCUGCAGUAAUUCUAACGAUUUGUGAUGAGUGGGCUACCUUUGCAAAAUGCUUCCCCCUCCUCAGCUGUAAGCCAGGUGUCACUAAUUACAACAUCUGGUCAAGAAUCAAAGCCAAAGAAGAUCUGCUGUGCUUGCCCCGAAACUAAGAAACUAAGGGAUGAAUGCAUUGUGGAGCAUGGUGAAGCUGCUUGUGCAAAAUGGAUCGAUGCUCAUCGACAGUGCCUUCGUGCUGAGGGCUUUAACAUUUGAGUUUGGUAGAUACGGUUUAGUUCAUAAAUCGAUACCAUUUUGGAAUAUAGAAUUACACAUACCAAAUGUGAGGAAUAAAGCUAGAAAACACAGCUUUUCUUGACCUUUUAAACUUUGCAAGCAUUUCUAGCUUCUUGAAUGAUGAUUUCUUUUCCUUACAGAAUGACAAAUGAAAAUGACUAGAAUACUUGGAUGGGGUUGAUAUUGUGUUUGUCUCUUCUCUUUGUCUGUUAUUUGAUUCGUGUUUGUACCUGUGAUUUUACAGGAAGAGAAAAGUUGUUUCUCUUUAUGUGUAAGGGAUUCCUCACAUGCCAUCAACUCUCCCAUUCAUGUUUCCUUCUUUAAAUUCCAUUAUGAUGUUAGAUAUUGCUCUGAACUUCUGAUGAUAGUUAUAGGCUUUCACAUUGAGCUGAUGCAAGCUUAUCCUCACUUGUACAUGGUUAUCCUUGCAGGUAGCGGUUGCCAAAGAUGAGCUGAAAAGAUCUGGGAAAGGUUAUUAUCUGAGAUGCAUUGCCCAGGUUAGAUGUUCUAAUCAACUUUAUCACAAUCUGAAUUAUCCUCGCAGUUUCUUCUGAGCCAUCACGUCUCCCCUGAAGUGAUCUCUUCGAGAGGAGAUGUAAUGGCUCAGAA